rnacentral:lncRNA from 1 species
AUACUCCCUCUCUGGUCAAGGCGUUGGUAUAAAAUUCCUUCCCCAACUCAAUGGUAGCUGGUGCACGAUAGGUGGUCAAUCUCUCCCAGCCUUGCCUCUCUAUCUCCAAUCCAAAUUCUGGAGCUAAGUCAGGGAUGUACAUGACCUUCCUCUCCAUCAGCAAACACCUCUCCUGGACAACAUAAUGCUCCUCAUGCUUCUUGGAAAGGA